rnacentral:lncRNA from 12 species
AUGGCCCUGUUCAUCUUCAUAAUCUUUCAUCUUGUACUGGAGGAUAAAUCGCAAGGUUUGCCUCAGGCCAAGCUGACAAUAUUUCCAACAUUUGCUACUGAUGAAGAAAAGGUGCAGAUGGUCUGUGGAGGUCAUGAGAAUCAGCAUAUAUCUGAGUGCAUGUUUUACCCUGCAGGACAGGAGAACUUUUUAAAACCAAGUGCAUCGUGUAACUUUUCCCUUACUGGUGCCAACCUGAUCAUAUGGUCACAAGAUCAGGAGAGUUCACAUGUUAAUAUAUCCUGCUACUAUACUGUGCAUGCCUUAGGAGAAAAUGGAACAUCACCUCAUUCCAACAUAGUCUCAGUCAGGGUCAGAGGUUUAGCCAGCAUGUCGUCUUUGCCACCAACCACAGAGGACAGCCCAACUACAAUGACCCCCAAUGGAGGAACCUUUCAAGAUAUGUCCAGUCUAAGUACCCAUGACAACCAUAGUUUAAUAGAUCCUGCAAAUGAUGAGACCUCAUCUCCGGCUCAUUUCAUCUCAGCAUCCUUGGACUCGAGUACGCUGACUCAUACUACAGAACAUGCAUCAAUUUUCCGCUUGAUGACUGAAGGUCCUAAAAUCAAAAAGUACUCAAAAACAAAAAUGUUUUUCUUGAUUGCUGUGGUUGCAAGUGGUGGAGGAAUUGUACUGACUGGACUCAUAAGCAUCUGUUUGUACAGAUGUACACGGAAGUCAAAGGCAGAGAGGAUUUGGAGCGAAUUCAUCAGCCAAAAACAGGGACUUUCUUUAGCAACAGCCAGUUCAGACACAACUGGAGAGGAAGUUGCAGCAAUUUAUUCAACCAUCAACGACAUGCAACCCCCUUCACAACCACCAGGAAAGAGUGAAGAAUCAAUGACAACUGAGGUUGAACUGAAUCAUUUGUAUUCCACCAUCCUCACCAAACCGGCCAUCUCCAGUGACAGCAGGGGUGUUUACAGUCAGCCAAAGGUCCGCUGA